rnacentral:rRNA from 1 species
AUUGAACGCUGGCGGCGUGCCUAACACAUGCAAGUCGAGCGGUAACAGGUGUAGCAAUACAUGCUGACGAGCGGCGGACGGGUGAGCAAUAUUUGGGAAUCUGCCUAUUAGUGGGGGAGUAACCCGGGAAACGUCGGGCGUAAUAACCGCAUACGCUCUACGGAGGAAAGCCGGGGACCGCAAGGCCGUGGCGCUAGUAGAUGAGCCCAAAUACGGAUUAGCUAGUUGGUGAGGAACGGCUCACCAAGGCGACGAUCCGUAGCUGGUUUGAGAGAACGACCAGCCACACCGGAACUGAGACACGGUCC